rnacentral:rRNA from 1 species
GAUGAACGCUGGCGGCGUGCCUAAUACAUGCAAGUCGAGCGAACUGAUUAGAAGCUUGCUUCUAUGACGUUAGCGGCGGACGGGUGAGUAACACGUGGGCAACCUGCCUGUAAGACUGGGAUAACUUCGGGAAACCGAAGCUAAUACCGGGUAGGAUCUUCUCCUUCAUGGGAGAUGAUUGAAAGAUGGUUUCGGCUAUCACUUACAGAUGGGCCCGCGGUGCAUUAGCUAGUUGGUGAGGUAACGGCGCACCAAGGCAACGAUGCAUAGCCGACCUGAGAGGGUGCUCGGCCACACUGGGACUUAGACACGGCCCAGACUCCUACGGGAGGCAGCAGUAGGGAAUCUUCCGCAAUGGACGAAAGUCUGACGGAGCAACGCCGCGUGAGUGAUGAAGGCUUUCGGGUCGUAAAACUCUGUUGUUAGGGAAGAACAAGUACAAGAGUAACUGCUUGUACCUUGACGGUACCUAACCAGAAAGCCACGGCUAACUACGUGCCAGCCGCCGCAGUAA